AGAAUCAACGCUGGCGGCGUGCCUAACACAUGCAAGUCGAACGAGAAAGUGGAGCAAUCCAUGAGUAAAGUGGCGCACGGGUGAGUAACACGUGACUAACCUACCCUUGAGUGGGGAUAACCUCGGGAAACCGGGGCUAAUACCGCAUAAUAUCGAGAGAUCAAAGGAGCAAUUCGCUUAAGGAGGGGGUCGCGGCUGAUUAGCUAGUUGGUGAGGUAAUGGCUCACCAAGGCUAUGAUCAGUAUCCGGCCUGAGAGGGCGCACGGACACACUGGAACUGAAACACGGUCCAGACUCCUACGGGAGGCAGCAGUGGGGAAUUUUGCGCAAUGGGGGAAACCCUGACGCAGCAACGCCGCGUGGAGGAUGAAAUAUCUUGGUAUGUAAACUCCUUUCGAUGGGGACGAUAAUGACGGUACCCAUAGAAGAAGCCCCGGCUAACUUCGUGCCAGCAGCCGC
rnacentral:rRNA from 1 species